rnacentral:lncRNA from 1 species
AGCACAAAUCAACCAGAAGUAAAUACUGAGCAAACUAAUAUAACGAAUAAAGAUUUGGUAUUAAAUAUGAGCAACAAAAAAGAAAAUAUGUUCGAUAAUGAUAUUAAUAAACUAGUUGAGUAUCUGAAAAAAAAAUUUAUAGAAGAAGUUAGUGAGUAUUAUCAUAAUAUCAAUAAUCUGGGUCAUCUAUAUUUUUCACAUGUUAAUAGCAACAUUUUAAAUUAUUAUAUGGUUUACUCUGUACUAUUUUUUAAUUAUACUAAAAAAAAGUAUCUACACUUUAAAACUAAUAUUCAAGCAGAAUUUUUUACAUGUCAAAAUGAUAAACAACAAACAAAUUGUGUUAAAACAUUCACUAAGCAAUUUGAUCUUAUGUCCGAUAAAGACCGAGAAGAUAAGCAUUAUAACACCUUACGUAAGCUAUCGGAUAUAUAUACAGAAAAUUAUGAUAUCAGUGACACAAAUUUCAAAUCAGGUUACGUCGCACACUUUAUAUAUUAUAAAAAUUGGAAUGACACCGACAAAAAUGUUGAGUUCGAACUAAAAUCUUUUAUAUGUGCAGGUAAAAUCGAUAAUCAAAUAUGGGAAAUGGAAUACCCGCUUCUAAUUGAUUUAGAUCCGUAUUACAGAUUGUGUAAAAAUCUUGAACUUAUGCAAAUUCCCAUAAAAAAUGUUAAAUCUUCCACACAGUGUAUGAAUAAAUUUUCAAAAGAAUAUGUACAAAGUUCAUUUAAAGCAAUAGUUAAUUUUCUCAAAUCUAAAUAUUUCCUAUUUAAUAAUUAUUAUCUAAGAAAUUUUUUUGCAUUACCCAUUUUUGAAGAUUUUUAUAUUAAAUUAAAAAUAAUAAAACAUAAGUGUACAGAUGUAUUUUACCAUAUCUACAACUAUUUAAAAAAUUACGGAAAACAUAAAAAAGUUGAAGAAUUUUUAAACACCUGUAUAGGAUCGAAUUGUGAUUUAGUAAACAAAUACAACGAAACGAAUGUUUCAAAAACAACUAAUGGACAAGAAGAAAACCUAAAUAAUAAAAACACAACUCAUGUAAAUUUAAUGCAAAAACAUAAACCAAGUGAACUAAAUGAAGAUGAUAAAAAUUGUAAAUAAACUUUUAUUAAAUGAACAUCCUUAUUUAUAGAAGAUCACACCCAAUUAAAACCCAACUAUAACAAAAGUACCAUUAUAAUAGAAUUCUCUUAUACAAUUUUUAAUUUUAUGUAUAGUUUAUUUUCAUAUAUGCGUUCAAUUUUUAAAUUUUAAUAAUUAUUUUUAAGUUAUUUUUAAAAAUACAAUUAUAGUUUGUCCCCUUAUUGGUGCAUACAUAUAAUAUUAUAAAUAUAUAUACAUCUUUAUUAUAAUCGAAUGCAAUUAAUAAUACAUAGUUUAUUAAAUUCAUAACAGAAUUUAAUAUUGGUAUUUAUCAUUU